CCUCGAGCAAACUUAUUUACAAAAAUGCGAGGGAGGGAUAGCUUGAAAAACAAGGGGGGAUUGAAAGUGAUAACACGCGAAGUUUCAGCAGAUGUCUCGAUGAAACCGCUGUAUCCUUCGAAGUUUAAACUAAAAAAAACUAUAAAAAGAAAUGGUUAGUUGCUGGCUUCGCAGAAAACGCCGUAUUUUCCAGUGCGAACCAAGUGUGAGCUCAAAUAUGGAUCGCCGCUGUCUGAUUUUGAUUUCGACUCUAUUCGUCCAGAGUUUGUACGGAGCCUCGAUCGAGGUGCCGUCGACGACGAUCAACGGGGACGUAAGCUCGGCGAAUACUUUCAACGGAACCCCCCUGGAGAACUUUUCGAACUUGACCCCGGGGGAUGCCAAAGUCCUGGCCGAACUCCAGCGGAUCCGUCUCAGCGGCGAGCGGUUCCGCGGCGAGGCCAUGCAGUUCAUCCAGUCCCUCCCGAACCGCCUCUCGCAGGGCUUCGCCCAGAGCCACCAGCUCUUCCAGCUCCUCGCCCAGAUGUUCUCGUCUGCGGUCACCGAUCAGAUCCAGAACAUCCAGGCCGGUGGAAGGUACCUGGGUGAGAACGCCAAGAAUCUGGCUCUGGAGGGCCUCAAACGCGGACAGAACGGAAUCAGCGCUGGCGUAGAAAUGGGUGAGAAAGUGCUUGAGAGGGUUCGGAGCAACGGUCAAGCACUCCUGCAGAACGGCAUGAGCUACCUCCAGUCCGGCGGAUCCGGGUCCGCCAGCAUCACGACCAGGGAUUUGAGCGACCAGAUUACCGCCCCGUUCGAUAAUCAGUACACACAGCAGUUCACUUCGAGCUUGAAGAAUGCCGCCAAUACUGUAACGUCGCAGCUUCCCAACCCCAACCAACAUCCUGAGGACAAAGACGAUGCUCUAUAUAGGGCCCAGACCCAAGACGACCCAGAGGAUGACCUGGACUUCGAGGACGGCCUGGAAUCCCAGAAACUAGCCCGACGGGACGACAAGCCGGUGACCGGGGUGCUCUCGGACGAGAUCAGCGGUGUGGGAGCGGCCGGGGCGGACAUGUUCAAGAACGUGGCUAGAUUCACAUCGGGCGGGAUCCGAGGGCUCUUGGACGCCCUGUCCACCGUCCUGGUGACCACGAGUGAGGUCGGAGGCCACGCCAGGAGUGCCUUCAGCAGCAUCAACAAAUCCGGGGCCGGCGCCAUCAGCUCUGUCAUCGACACCGGUGGCAACAUCGUCUCUGGGGGUUUGGACAAGGCUGGCUCCGUCGUUGGGUCCUUGAAAGUUGGUGGGGGUGCGGCUGCUCCCCCCAAGGCUUAAGUGGGGGUUUUUGUUUGGUUUGUUUUACUUAUAAUGACAGGAACAAUGUCAAUAGAAUUAAACUUAUACUCAGAGGCAGAUUCGAUUUUUCUUUUUUCCACCUUGAGCUAGAGUCCCUUUAUAGAAUCAAAA
rnacentral:lncRNA from 1 species